CCUAACACAUGCAAGUCGAACGGCAGCACAGAAGAGCUUGCUCUUUGGGUGGCGAGUGGCGGACGGGUGAGUAAUGUCUGGGAAACUGCCCGAUGGAGGGGGAUAACUACUGGAAACGGUAGCUAAUACCGCAUAACGUCGCAAGACCAAAGUGGGGGACCUUCGGGCCUCACACCAUCGGAUGUGCCCAGAUGGGAUUAGCUAGUAGGUGGGGUAAUGGCUCACCUAGGCGACGAUCCCUAGCUGGUCUGAGAGGAUGACCAGCCACACUGGAACUGAGACACGGUCCAGACUCCUACGGGAGGCAGCAGUGGGGAAUAUUGCACAAUGGGCGCAAGCCUGAUGCAGCCAUGCCGCGUGUAUGAAGAAGGCCUUCGGGUUGUAAAGUACUUUCAGCGGGGAGGAAGGCGGUGAGGUUAAUAACCUCGCCGAUUGACGUUACCCGCAGAAGAAGCACCGGCUAACUCCGUGCCAGCAGCCGCGGUAAUACGGAGGGUGCAAGCGUUAAUCGGAAUUACUGGGCGUAAAGCGCACGCAGGCGGUCUGUUAAGUCAGAUGUGAAAUCCCCGGGCUUAACCUGGGAACUGCAUUUGAAACUGGCAGGCUUGAGUCUCGUAGAGGGGGGUAGAAUUCCAGGUGUAGCGGUGAAAUGCGUAGAGAUCUGGAGGAAUACCGGUGGCGAAGGCGGCCCCCCUGGACGAAGACUGACGCUCAGG
rnacentral:rRNA from 1 species